rnacentral:rRNA from 1 species
AUUGAACGCUGGCGGCGUGCCUAACACAUGCAAGUCGAGCGGUAACAGGUGUAGCAAUACAUGCUGACGAGCGGCGGACGGGUGAGUAACGCUUGGGAAUCUGCCUAUUAGUGGGGGACGAACCCGGGGAAACGUCGGGCGUAAUACCGCAUACGCUCUACGGAGGAAAGCCGGGGACCGGCAAGGCCUGGCGCUAAUAGAUGAGCCCAAGUCGGAUUAGCUAGUUGGUAGGGAACGGCCUACCAAGGCUACGAUCCGUAACUGGUCUGAGAGGACGACCAGUCACACCGGAACUGAGACACGGUCCGGACUCCUACGGGAGGCAGCAGUGGGGAAGUAUUGG